ACGGGUGAGUAACGCGUGGGAACGUGCCCUUCGGUUCGGAAUAACACAGGGAAACUUGAGCUAAUACCGGAUACGCCCUUAUGGGGAAAGGUUUACUGCCGAAGGAUCGGCCCGCGUCUGAUUAGCUAGUUGGUGAGGUUACGGCUCACCAAGGCGACGAUCAGUAGCUGGUCUGAGAGGAUGAUCAGCCACACUGGGACUGAGACACGGCCCAGACUCCUACGGGAGGCAGCAGUGGGGAAUAUUGGACAAUGGGGGCAACCCUGAUCCAGCCAUGCCGCGUGAGUGAUGACGGCCUUAGGGUUGUAAAGCUCUUUUCUCCGGGACGAUAAUGACGGUACCGGAGGAAUAAGCCCCGGCUAACUUCGUGCCAGCAGCCGCGGUAAUACGAAGGGGGCUAGCGUUGCUCGGAAUCACUGGGCGUAAAGGGCGCGUAGGCGGCUGAUUUAGUCGAGGGUGAAAGCCCGUGGCUCAACCACGGAAUGGCCUUCGAUACUGAUUGGCUUGAGACCGGAAGAGGACAGCGGAACUGCGAGUGUAGAGGUGAAAUUCGUAGA
rnacentral:rRNA from 1 species